rnacentral:misc_RNA from 1 species
CUCUCAUGUAUCUGGUCUGAAGAGAGCGAUUCUCCAAACCCUCUCUUCUCUUGCCGCCUCCAUUUUCACUCUUCUACCGGUGUGUAUCUCUACUUUCUUCGUUGAUUCUUUAUUUUUAUAUCACCAGUUGAUUUUGUUCUUCUAUUUUAGAUUUCGAUCUGGCUGCUCGUAAUGCUAAUUCUUGCUGUUUUUGGUGUUUGAUUGCUUAAUUUAACUUUGUGUUGUUUAGAUUCUUGAUCAUGCUGUUUUGUGACGAUGUUUCUGUUAAAUAAGAUGAUUAUUGAUGUGAAUCGUAUAGUUUAACGUUGAUAAGUAUUUGAUGGCUGGACAUUGGUUGUUAUUAUUUUCUUCAAUUUUUUUUUCUACUUAUAGCUUAAUAUAGUUAUACAGUUAAUCAAAUCUAAGAUGUGUUCUAAAUUUUGAUGUACCCCGUGAUAGCCUUUUCCAGCUGAAAUAUGUCGAUUUGGAUUUCAAUUCACUUGCCAGUUGCCACCAUAUUUCAUUUGCUAUUCCUAUCAAAUAAUUUUUGCAAUUCAUUGAAUGUUUGGGUGUGCUUUUCGAGUUGACUGCUUCGUUAUUAAUUAAUUAUAAGAGGAUUUGGGCAGGCAGCUAGCAAUUGCCUGUGUAAAUUUGAGGAUUGUCUUCUACACACAUAACUUUGCAUCUCACUGUGGAAAUGGAUCAUUAGUUGAUUGCUUUCAGUGUGUUUAACUUUCAUUAGAUAUUUCUUCUGUAAAUUAUACUACGAUUUGUUUUUGUUUAUCUGUGCA